rnacentral:rRNA from 1 species
UGGCUCAGGAUGAACGCUAGCGGCAGGCUUAACACAUGCAAGUCGAGGGGCAGCGGGGAGGAAGCUUGCUUUCUCCGCCGGCGACCGGCGCACGGGUGAGUAACACGUAUGCAACCUGCCCCUGUCAGGGGGACAACCCGCCGAAAGGCGGGCUAAACCCGCGUACAUGCCACCGGGGCAUCCCGGAGGCAGGAAAGGCUUCGGCCGGACAGGGAUGGGCAUGCGGCGCAUUAGGCAGUAGGCGGGGUAACGGCCCACCUAACCGACGAUGCGUAGGGGUUCUGAGAGGAAGGUCCCCCACACUGGUACUGAGACACGGACCAGACUCCUACGGGAGGCAGCAGUGAGGAAUAUUGGUCAAUGGUCGGGAGACUGAACCAGCCAAGCCGCGUGAGGGAUGAAGGUACAGAGUAUCGUAAACCUCUUUUGUCAGGGAACAAAGGCGGGGACGUGUCCCCGGAUGAGUGUACCUGAAGAAAAAGCAUCGGCUAACUCCGUGCCAGCAGCCGCGGUAAUACGGAGGAUGCGAGCGUUAUCCGGAUUUAUUGGGUUUAAAGGGUGCGCAGGCGGUCUGUUAAGUCAGCGGUCAAAGCCCGGGGCUCAACCCCGGCCCGCCGUUGAAACUGGCAGUCUCGAGUUGGAGAGAAGUAUGCGGAAUGCGCGGUGUAGCGGUGAAAUGCAUAGAUAUCGCGCAGAACUCCGAUUGCGAAGGCAGCAUGCCGGCUCCACACUGACGCUGAGGCACGAAAGCGUGGGUAUCGAACAGGAUUAGAUACCCUGGUAGUCCACGCAGUAAACGAUGAAUGCUGGCUGUCCGGGGGGGAUUGACCCCUGGGUGGCGAAGCGAAAGCGAUAAGCAUUCCACCUGGGGAGUACGCCGGCAAUGGUGAAACUCAAAGGAAUUGACGGGGGCCCGCACAAGCGGAGGAACAUGUGGUUUAAUUCGAUGAUACGCGAGGAACCUUACCCGGGCUCAAACGGGGAGUGACUCAGGCAGAGACGCCUGUUUCCCACGGGACACUCCCCGAGGUGCUGCAUGGUUGUCGUCAGCUCGUGCCGUGAGGUGUCGGCUUAAGUGCCAUAACGAGCGCAACCCCCGCGUGCAGUUGCUAACAGAUAACGCUGAGGACUCUGCACGGACUGCCGGCGCAAGCCGCGUGGAAGGCGGGGAUGACGUCAAAUCAGCACGGCCCUUACGUCCGGGGCGACACACGUGUUACAAUGGGUGGUACAGCGGGAAGCCAGGCGGCGACGCCGAGCGGAACCCGAAAUCCACUCUCAGUUCGGAUCGGAGUCUGCAACCCGACUCCGUGAAGCUGGAUUCGCUAGUAAUCGCGCAUCAGCCAUGGCGCGGUGAAUACGUUCCCGGGCCUUGUACACACCGCCCGUCAAGCCAUGGGAGCCGAGGGCGCUUGAAGUGCGUCGCCGCGAGGCGCGCCCUAGAGCGAAAUCGGUGACUGGGGCUAAGUCGUAACAAGGUA